AUAGGAAACAAUCGAGUCCAUGCAGACGGAAACGUCUGCAUGUGAAAAAAGCAAUACCUGUAAAACAUUGAGGGGAAAAAAUCUAGAAAAAUAGAUUCACGAAAUCAAGUCAGGGAAGGAUUUCUUAAACGAGGCACAGAGACCACAAACCAUGAAAUAAAAUACUGAUCUGUUUGAACUCAUUAAAAACAUACUCUGCUUAAAGAAACGGAAAGGACAAUCAGUUAAACUGGCAGAAAAUAUUUGCAAUUUGUAUACCCAGCAGAGUAGUAGUAUUCAGUGUUCAGAAUGUAGGAAGGAUUCCCAAAAGUCAGCAAGAAAAAUACAACUCGAUAGAUAAAUGGCCAAAGGGUUUGAAUUGUCCAUUCAUAGAAACUCAGAAGAGGCUGACCCUCACUGGUAAAUAAAGAGAAGUAGAACUUGUGUCACUCAGCUUUGCUGUCUGGUAGCACAACUGUGAUUGAGGGUACGGGGAAACAGGGACUCACCGCUGGUGGAAAUGGGACAGUUGCUGUGGAGUUCGGCAACAUUCCAGAAGGGAUGUUUAGCCCCGUCUCACAGAGCUAAAACCAGGGCCGGCAAGCUGGUUCCUUCAGGCGGUUCCGAGGGGAGAAUCCCUCCCUGGCCUUUUCAGCUUAAGGAGGCCACCUGCUCCCUUGGCUCCCGAGCCCCCUCAGCGAUGGACAGACCUGGACUCAGCGAUCAGUAGCCUGGAGAGCAUCCCACAUGUGCACGAGAGGACAGGUAAGAGCAAAUCUGUGAGCUGUUAGUAAGUAAUACAGCCAUCCGCCCUGACCCACGGGGGACAUGUUCCAAGACCCCCAAUGGAUGCCUGAAACCUGAGAUAGUACCAAACCCUACAGAUACUACGUUUCUUCCUACGCAUCAUAUACAUGGGGCGCGAUUCAGUGCGUGAUACUAGACACACAUCUGCUUCCAUGCCACUACCUGUCCCAGGCCUCCAUCCGGGCUGCCCUCUGUACCCCGAUUCCCGCUGUUUCCCUGACCCUCCUCAGCAGGGGAUGUCCCCCGGUGUUACCCUCCGUUGCCCUGGGAGCCUCUGAAGCUGUGCAUUUCCCGCCUAGGUCCCUCCGAUUUGUGGACUCGCUCUUGCUUCCUUCCCGGUCUGGGGGAAAGCACAUGUAUUAUACUUUUAACCAUCACAGUGCCUGGCGGUUGCUCACUAAAUAUUCACUGAACUUCACUAAAAAGGUCGAGUCAUGCUCUCACUGAGGGUAUUUAUUCAAAAGAAUGAAGAGAUCACCAUUUCCAUUCGCCAUUCCUCAGUGAAUUCUUCCAAGAUGCUGUGUUGGAAAAUGUGUCUAAUAUUGGAGGAGUUUCCUAGGGCUGUCGUAACAAAUGACCAGAAAUGAAGCGGCCUGAGACAACACACACUGAUUCUCUUGCGGUUCUAAAGGUCAGAGUCCAAAACCCGCCUCACGGGGCUAAAACCCGCGGCCGGCAAGCUGGUUCCUUCAGGCGGUUCCGAGGGGAGAAUCCCUUCCUGGCCUUUUCAACUUCUGGAGGCCGCCUGCUCCCUUGGCUCCCAACCCUCUCACAUCUCGUCAGCCUCUCGUUUCCAGUGUCACGUCUUCUCCGACUAAUUCUGAACUUCCUGCCUCCCUUUUAUAGGACUUUGCCGUUCUAUCGGGCCCACCUAGAUAAUGCCGGAUAAUGUCCCUUCUCAACACGCUUAACUAAGUCACAUCUGCUGAGCGUCUUAGGCCACAGAAGACUUCACCGAGGGCCUCUUGAAUUCUAAAUGCAAUGGCUCGUAUUGGACUUUGCUGUGCAGUGCGAGUCAAGCAUGGCUGGUUUCCCUGUCAUUGCCAAGGUUAGAAGGACCAGCAGACUGACCGUGCAGUGUCCACAGCGCUAUGCCUGGUACCUAGUAACCACCUGCCUCCAGCCUUCAGGAAGUUUGGAGAGACGGGAGGGUUGGGGAGCCAGCCCCUCACCUCAGACCUAGGAAAAUGGACUCCAAAGGGAUCGUCGGUGACCCAGGCAUGUGUAUCCAGAAGUUUC